GACGAACGCUGGCGGCGUGCUUAACACAUGCAAGUCGAACGGAAAGGCCCUGCUUUUGUGGGGUGCUCGAGUGGCGAACGGGUGAGUAACACGUGAGUAACCUGCCCUUGACCUUGGGAUAACUUCAGGAAACUGGGGCUAAUACCGGAUAGGAGCUCCUGCUGCAUGGUGGGGGUUGGAAAGUUUCGGCGGUUGGGGAUGGACUCGCGGCUUAUCAGCUUGUUGGUGGGGUAGUGGCUUACCAAGGCUUUGACGGGUAGCCGGCCUGAGAGGGUGGCCGGCCACAUUGGGACUGAGAUACGGCCCAGACUCCUACGGGAGGCAGCAGUGGGGAAUAUUGCACAAUGGGCGGAAGCCUGAUGCAGCAACGCCGCGUGCGGGAUGACGGCCUUCGGGUUGUAAACCGCUUUCGCCUGUGACGAAGCGUGAGUGACGGUAAUGGGUAAAGAAGCACCGGCUAACUACGUG
rnacentral:rRNA from 1 species